rnacentral:tRNA from 1 species
GGCGUCGUGGCCAAGUGGCUAAGGCAGGGGCCUGCAAAGCCCUUAUCGCCGGUUCGAAUCCGGCCGACGCCU